UGCGCAUUAUUUGAUAACAGAACAACGUGCGGCCACGCCCUCUUGUCAUCGCAGUCAAGGGGGCGGGGUUUCGCCUCUGCAUUUGGUACCAAGAUGGCAACGUCCAUAACACUCAGCCUGGACAACUUACCUUCCGAUCCGUUACUCCUGGUGCUGUCAUUUCUGGACUUCAGAGAUUUGAACAGCUGCAGUUUUGUAAGUCGUCGACUCAAUGAGCUGACGGGUCACAACCCGCUAUGGAAGAGGCUUUGUCAAAAGCACUGGCUUCUCACAGAGACAGAUAAAGCCCAGAGAGGCGUGACCUGGAAGGAGUUGUUUCGGGAGUAUUACACCGAUCUGGGCCGUUACAUUGACUAUUACAGCAAUCUCAAGAAAGCCUGGGAUGACCUGAAGAGCUACCUGAAUCAGAAAUGCCCUCGAAUGAUAGCUUCACUCAAAGAGGGAGUGAGGGAGGAUGAGCUUGACACCAUUGAGGCUCAGAUUGGCUGCAAACUCCCUAAUGACUAUCGUUGCUCAUAUAGGAUACACAAUGGGCAGAAACUGGUGGUUCCUGGGUUGAUGGGAAGCAUGGCCUUGUCCAAUCACUAUCGCUCAGAGGACCUGUUGGAUAUUGAGACAGCAGCAGGAGGGUUUCAGCAGAGGAAGGGCAUGCGACAGUGUCUUCCGCUUACUUUUUGCUUUCAUACCGGCCUCAGCCAGUACAUGGCUCUCGAGAGCACGGAAGGACGAAUGCGCAGUGAGAUCUUCUAUCAAUGCCCGGAUCAGCUGGCACAAGAUCCCUCCGCUAUUGACAUGUUCAUUACAGGCUCAAACUUUACUGAGUGGUUUACCUCUUACGUCGAUAAUGUCGUAACGGGAGAAUACCCCAUCAUUCGGGACCAGAUAUUCAGGUAUGUACAUGACAAGCGCUGUGUGGCGACCACUGGUGACAUCACCGUAUCCGUCUCUACCUCCUUUCUGCCAGAGCUCAGUUCAGUCCAUCCGCCACACUUUUUCUUCACCUACAGAAUCAGGAUUGAGAUGGCAAAGUCGGCCCUGCCAGAGAACGCAUGCCAGCUAGACAGUCGAUACUGGAAGAUCACGAAUGCAAACGGAAAUGUGGAAGAGGUCCGUGGACCCGGUGUUGUGGGUGAGUUUCCAGUAAUGACACCCGGUAAAGUUCACGAGUACGCCAGCUGCACCACAUUCUCCACAACCUCCGAGUACAUGGAAGGCUACUACACAUUCCACCGGCUCAAGAACAAAGAGGAAGUGUUUGACGUUGCAAUCCCACGAUUCCACAUGGUGUGCCCACCAUUCCGUGAAUCAAUGGUGCGGUCGUGCUCGGUCACUGAAGUGUCUGCUCCCUAUAAUGAUGAGAAUUCAUCAGACACAGAUGACUAUGAGGAGGGAGACAUGCGUGGAAUAAACAUGGCUGAUCCGGGAGGACGCUGCCCUCGGCACGUCUGAUGCACUUUUACAUGUUAAUGCUUGGCCAGCAACACCCACCCACACCCAGGCACGCUCAUUCAAACAGGAGCACAGGGGGACAAACAGAGCUUUUAGGAAUGCAUUGUUUAUUGUUCAGCGCCUUUGUGCCUGUCACCUCUUGAGCGCUAUCUCCAGUUUGUGAGGACAUGUGUCUCUAGUCGUGUGUGUGUGCGCUUGUGCCUGUGAAUGUGUGACAUCAUUGUAUAUAUAUGUUUGAGUCUGUUAGCGUUUUUUGUGGUUGAGUGAAAGACAGAAAGUUUGUUGUAUGUGUGAGAUAUUGGUUUCGCGGGUUUCACAAUGACCUGCUACUUAUUGUACACCACACAAUUGUAGUAAUCCUUAAGAGAGAAAUUACUGACCAUGUGUGUGUGUGUUGAGAGAUAGGCAGAGUUAACUAUUCUUAUUUUAGUUUGCAAGACAAAUUAAUCCCAUUUGUACUGAUGACUGUGCAGUGUGAAUGUGUUUGUGUAUAUCCGUUUGUGGUUGUGUUUGUACAGAGAGUUUCAGGGGAGAUUCUGUUAUAUGAAACUGGUCCAGUUAAAGAGAUAAAAGCACAUAGACUCAAACCAGUCUGUUCAUGCACUGCAUCAGCUUCAACACAUUUUAGCGAUCAUCAAACAUUUAUUAGUUACUUGGUGUUUGCUGGUUAGCAGAGACCUGUUCUCACACACAUCCAGAUAGAAGUACACUGAAUGUUAAAUAGACCUCAUCUGCCUUCUCCUUAGCUCAGAUCAUCGUAAGGACUGGAUGUUAUACAGAUUUGUGCGAAGAGCGAGAAAAAAAUAGUUAUUAAUUUCUGAAUUUUUACUGAUGUAAAUGGGUAGUGUGAGAGGAAAAAAUUUGCAGUCUUGAAUGGAAUAGACACUUUUUCCUCAUAAUGGCAAGUUAACCUUAUCUUGUGUAAAGACAAUAUGAUUUUCAUGUUAAAGAUUGCAGUUGUAUUGUAAUCAUUGCAAAAUAAUGCAGUGCAGUGGGAUUUUUCAGCAGUUAUUAUAUUCUUGGUUUAGCCAUAUCUGGCUGGUUAAAUAGCCCUGUCUGGCUGGUUAAAGCGAUACUUCACCCAAAAAUGAAAAUUCUGUCAUCAUUUACUCACCUUCAAGUUGUUCCAAAUCUGUAUAAAUUUCUUUGUUCUGAUGAAUACAGAGAAAGAUAUUUGGAAGAAUGCUUAAACCAAACAGAUCUUGUCCCCCAUUGACUCCCAUAGUAGGAAAAAAUACUUUAUAAUUUUUUUGUUGUUCUGUUGAACACAAAAGAAGACAUUUUGAAGAAUGUAGGACAGCAAACAGUUCUGGGGAAUUUUUUCCUACCAUGGUAGUCAAUUGGGGCAAAAUCUGUCUGGUUAUAAGCAUUCUUGCAAAUAUAUUUCUCUGUGUUCAUCAGAGCAAAGAAAUGUAUACAGAUUUGGAACAACUCGAAUGAGUAAAGGAUGACAGAAUUUUCAUUUUUGGGCAAAGUAUCCCUUUAAUAACUCCCUGUUUUUAUUUUGUAUAUGUGAUUUUUGUUAUUUGGAGCAAAUAAAAGGGUAAUGGUGUAUUGAUAACAUUUUAUUUUAUUUGUUUAUCUCUGAGAUCAGAAUGUUUUCUACUAAAUAAGAACAAAGAAAUCAUUGAUCUUGUUUGAAGAAUCCAGCCAUAAUGCUAUUGUCUCAUGCUUUGGUUUAAAACAAACACUUACUGUUCUAACACAAAACGGGGAGUCAUUUCUCAUUCUGACCCAAACUCUAACCCGACCUGUAGGUGUCAGUUGUCAUGGCAACAAGUUGAAAAGGCCUUUUGGUAGUCUGACUGAUGUUUCUUUGUUGUGCUGGGGGUUUUUUUUGGCUUGAUUCUCCUCUCAUCCUGUUUUAUUUUAAUUUGUAUGUCAAAGAGUGCUUGUAAAUCUGCUGUUUGUGUGCACUGAUCAGAGACUGCCCGAUGAUAUGACACAUUUAGAUAAGUGAAUGCAACAUUUCUGCGAGUUAAAUGUAAGUACUCUCACAGAAAAGAAAAACACUUGCUUUUCUUAAUUCUCUCAAGUGGUCACAUUUAGACCUAGACAACAAACAUGAAGGCUAUCAAUGUUAUAAAUUAAAUUUUUGUUUUCUAGUUAUUCUUGUUUAUUACAAAAAUGAUGGGUAAAAUUUCAGGUUGUUUUUCUAGACAUUAUUUGAGUUAUUUCUGUAUUUAAUGGCCCUAGAUGUGUAAUAACAAUGUAAUUGACCGUUGGUUCACGCCAUCCCUCAUUCAGAACCACACACAUCUGUUAUUGUGCCACAACAGAAUGGGCCCUUGUCUGACUCCAUGUUCAGUAAUGACAAAUGCAGAAUACCCAUGUCUGCUAAUGCAUAAUCUGUUGUCAUAUGGUAACAAGUAGGGAUCUUGGCAGCACAUUUUCAUGGGGAAUGUCCAUGCAGUAAAUUACUCCGGAAAUUUUGCAUAAUUAAUAAAGUAAGUGAUUUAAUGAUUUUAGGUCAGUAAAUCAUUAACGUUACAAUCCAAACACAUGCCUAGUUGUCAUGAAGUUACUAAUGUUUUAAGUGUGUACCCGCCAGAUCCCUACGCUCUGCAACCUUAUGACGUCUUCUGUGCCAUCCCAAAAAGGGAAAAAUCACUCUCACGUACCUUCUCUGGAUCUGUUCCACAUUUGUGGAAUGAUCUGCCCUAUGCGACAAGACCAUCAGAUUCUGUUGCCAUCUUUAAGAAUCGGCUGAAAACUCUUCAACACCUGACCGAUUAGCUCUGACUUCUAUUUCUUUUCUACUCUUUCUAUCCUUAAAAAAAAGAAACCUUAGCCUUGUAUACUGUGGUAGGCUACAUGAGACCAGUUUUACUGGACUUAAGCUUUUUGUUGUCCUUAUGUUGCUCCAAUUGCUUCUAUUGUUCUAUUCUACCUCAUUUGUAAGUCGCUUUGGUUAAAAGCGUCAGCUAAAUGACUAAAUGACAGAGUGAGUGGACUCAAGCUCUUCAGUUUUCAGAGUUGUUUGGAUUUGUCAGCAGCUGGAUUCCUUCUUCACAUCGGGGAUUAGACGGAUAAAUUGAAGGCAUUAUGAAA